rnacentral:hammerhead_ribozyme from 1 species
CCUAGCUGAUGAGUCCCAAAUGAGACGAAACGUGCGUCAUGAGC